rnacentral:rRNA from 1 species
UACGGAGGAUGCGAGCGUUAUCCGGAAUCAUUGGGUUUAAAGGGUGCGUAGGCUGGUAUUUAAGUCAGUGGUGAAAUUUUCGUGCUUAACUAUAGAGCUGCCAUUGAUACUGGGUACCUAGAGUGUAUUUGAUGUGGGCGGAAUGUGUUGUGUAGCGGUGAAAUGCUUAGAUAUGACACAGAACACCGAUAGCGAAGGCAGCUCACAAAGUUACAACUGACGCUGAUGCACGAAAGCGUGGGAUCGAAACAGG